UCUACUUUCAAAUAUCACUGAACUGCUUCACAGGUAGUGUGAGGUCCUUGUAAUAACAAAACAAUCCUAAUUCCUCCCUCUGGCUCUUUGUAUUAUUGCUGUCAUUCAUUUCAUAAGCAUACAUAAGGAUACCCAUAUACAUAUAAUAUAUACUUAAGCAUACACAAUCGAAUACGUAGUUGCUAUUAUUUUUAACAAACUGUUUUCUGUUAGAUCAAUUAAGAACAAGAAAAUUUUUUUUACCUUCAUUUAUUUUUUCUUUAAUGCUCUUUAUUUUUUUAUAUAGAUCCGAGUUCUUUCCCUACAGUAUUUUCUUCUUCUCUAAAUAAAUUCUUUUAACAUUUUUCACAAGGUGGGUCUGCUAGCAACAAACUUCCUCUAUUUUUGUUUGUUUGAGGAAGUCUUUAUUUUCCCUUUACUUCUGGAAGAUAAUUUCAUAGGGUACAGAAUUCCCAUCACUUUUUAUUUCUCUGAAUACUUUAUAAAUAUUUUACUCCACUCUCUCCUUGCUAGCAUGGUUUCUGAAGAAAAGUUGUACAUAAU
rnacentral:lncRNA from 10 species